rnacentral:lncRNA from 1 species
UUCACGGCCAGUGGGCAAGAAUCUUCUCCAAGCUACCCAUAGCCAUGUUCGUCAUAUCUGAAAUGGAUAGUCAGAGUUGAUGAUGGAGUCAAGCCCAAGAAACAGAGCAGCCCAAGGAAAAUGUACAGGGCUGCUGUCUGGCAAACUCCACCCUUGCCUUCUCUGCACCCAGAACUUUGAACUGUCCCCUGGAUGCUAGGAUUCCACCCCUGCCAGAAUAGAACGCACGGCCAGUUCCUCGAUAACAAGGCAGGACCCUGUAAAAGUCAACAGCACUCUGUAGGGAAUCAACCCCAGUUUUAUUCUUUCUUGGCUGUGUGACUCUGGCAAAUGUGUCACCUUCCUGAGCCUCAGCUUCCCUACUUACAAAAUAAGGGUGAUCAUAAUUGUAGUACUGACGAGGACUGUAUGCCCAAUGCAGGCAAAACACUUAGAACAAAUGCCAGACCCAUAGGACAUGCCUGCCACAUACUAACUAUAAUAAUGAUGAAUUUUCUGUAUUGUCUCUUUAGGUCUUACAUCUUUAAAGCAGCAAGUCUGUCCCCUUCGUGCUCAUUGAGAAUAUCUGAUACCUUCAUGUUUGGACUCAUCCAGCCCCCAUCUCCUCAGUCUAUCUCAGAUCUGACAGUGGAGGCUGCUUUGUCCAGGACCAACCUUUUCUCUUGCCUCAUUUCUGCUAUGCCAGCUGAUGAAGAGCAUGCUAUGCCCUCAGCUUCUUGGACUUCACCCUGGCCCUGGAAGGUGGGCCCCAAGCCUGAGGAUAUUCUCCGAUCAUCUUCACAGUAACCAUAUAAGUCUGCCGGAAAUCACUGAGGGUUUCUGUAUUGUUGAAUGAUGCGAUCUGCCUUCCUUUGGGAAGAUAACCUUGUCCUGGGGUUAGGAAGAGGAGGAAGAGCUCUACACCCACCUGAUCUGUAAGUCAAGAAACUUUUGUUAUCAAAUAAUGCUCCUUUAUCCACCCACCUGCUUUGUUUAGUCCUUUCAUUCCUCCCAGGAACACAGCUAAGUGGUUCUAAUUCACAAACCUGGAAGCCAACUCCUUUUGUAGUCAGACAAUAACAGAUCCGGAUUCUGGCCACACACACACACACACACACACACACACAAAAGAACACCAGAAAUAAUGGCUGGGCUAAGAAACAAAGCCCCAGGUUGAGGCUCUUUCUUGCAUUCUCCUCCUGAAGCAUCUAUAAUUAGACUGGGGAGAAAUGAUUUCUUUAAUUCAUGCUAUUUCACGCAAGAUCAUUAGCAGUACUCGGCCGUAUCUUUAUUACUCCUGUGCACUCUACCUCCGUAACAGUUGAGAGCAACAAUGGGGCUUUACUUAUCUUCAGGAAGCCAGCCCAUUCUUUUGAGGAAGGAAAAAUGGCCCCAACCCCAGGUUGCCAUAGACACUGGAGAAGGCUGUCGCGGAGCUGCGAGAUACCUAUUUCCUGGUGACAUGCAGAAUUAGAGGUAUUGGGGAAUCAAAGCGAAAACUAGCCUGAAGAACAAAGGGUCCCUUCAGCUUCUCCUCACAUACUUCUUUGCAGAAGCAGCCUCCCCGUGCUUCUUCCCCUUCUCCCCCCUCCCUGAAGCCAGGUGAAUGAAUUUGAAUCCCAAGGAUGGAGACAGUAACCUCCAUGCUUAGCUCAAAGUCAAAGACCUUCCUUAAAGCGCAUCAGUGGUUUCCCGUGGUUCCAAACUUCCGACAUACCUUCAAGCCUGGAAGGUCUGUCACCUGCCAGCAUCUCCAUAUUCCUUAGUCCCUCAUCUUCUGCCCAUACUCUCCUUUGAGUUCAUGAACUUGUAACCU